AUUGAACGCUGGCGGCAGGCCUAACACAUGCAAGUCGAGCGGAUGAAGGGAGCUUGCUCCUGGAUUCAGCGGCGGACGGGUGAGUAAUGCCUAGGAAUCUGCCUGGUAGUGGGGGAUAACGUCCGGAAACGGGCGCUAAUACCGCAUACGUCCUGAGGGAGAAAGUGGGGGAUAUUCGGACCUCACGCUAUCAGAUGAGCCUAGGUCGGAUUAGCUAGUUGGUGGGGUAAAGGCCUACCAAGGCGACGAUCCGUAACUGGUCUGAGAGGAUGAUCAGUCACACUGGAACUGAGACACGGUCCAGACUCCUACGGGAGGCAGCAGUGGGGAAUAUUGGACAAUGGGCGAAAGCCUGAUCCAGCCAUGCCGCGUGUGUGAAGAAGGUCUUCGGAUUGUAAAGCACUUUAAGUUGGGAGGAAGGGCAGUAAGUUAAUACCUUGCCGUUUUGACGUUACCAACAGAAUAAGCACCGGCUAACUUCGUG
rnacentral:rRNA from 1 species